rnacentral:rRNA from 1 species
AUUGAACGCUGGCGGCAUGCCUUACACAUGCAAGUCGAACGGCAGCACGGGAGCAAUCCUGGUGGCGAGUGGCGAACGGGUGAGUAAUGCCUAGGAAUCUGCCUAGUGGUGGGGGAUAACGUUCGGAAACGGACGCUAAUACCGCAUACGUCCUACGGGAGAAAGCGGGGGAUCUUCGGACCUCGCGCCAUUAGAUGAGCCUAGGUCGGAUUAGCUAGUUGGUGAGGUAAUGGCUCACCAAGGCGACGAUCCGUAACUGGUCUGAGAGGAUGAUCAGUCACACUGGAACUGAGACACGGUCCAGACUCCUACGGGAGGCAGCAGUGGGGGAAUAUUGGACAAUGGCGAAGGACCUGAUCCAGCCAUG